rnacentral:tRNA from 1 species
GCGCUCGUAGCUCAGUUGGAUAGAGCAGUGGACUUCUAAUCCACAGGUCGAAAGUUCGAGUCUUUCCGAGCGUG